AGAAAACGCUUUAAAUUGAGUCUCAGGUUAUUCGAGACGAGAUCUUCACGAGCAUUUCAUUCGGCAAUCGUACGUUUGCGAGCGUAGACAUCAGAUAUGGGACCGCUAUAUUUCUGGCUUCUUGAGAUUGUGUUCAUUUCAGCAUCGUCAUUGAUUGUAUCCGCCAGUCCGCAAAGCUAUUAUUACAAUGGAUACGCACAGAGCGUGCCUUGGACUGGAGUAGUUCCCUCGUAUGUUUCGAUUGACAAUUUCGGAAAUUGCCAGGCCUACGAUCGUCCAUUGGUUGGAAGAUGUGUGAGGUACGUGGAUUGCAUCAGUGCGCUGCAAUCGGUGCCCCAAGUGACGCCUUUACUCUGCCCAUCGUCGUGGCCCAAUCAGCUGGUGUGCUGUCCCCAUGGCGGAUACUUGAUUCCGGAACCCAGGAUUUCCAAGAGUGAGGAAGCCUGCUCGAAUGCUUAUCCAAGAGCUCGUCAUAAGCGCCGUCGACGUCGGCGGAAUACUACCUCGAAUAAAGAUCAAGUGGAACUAGUUGAGCCCAUUAUCCAAAAGCGCAAUCAGAGCGAUAAUUUCCUGGUGGGAGGCAGACUCACAAUGGAUAACGAGCAUCCCUAUAUGUGUGCCCUCGGUUGCCCUUCCCGCACAAACAGAUGGAUUCAUUCGCACGGUUCCAGCAAGCGCAGGUAUACGUUCAACUGUGGCUGCGUGAUGAUUUCGCCGCGGUUCGCUAUAACGGCAGCACACUGUGCCAACAUCGGCGGGGAAUCCCCGUCAGUGGCGUUGAUAGGUGGCGUUGAAUUGAACAGCGCUCGCGGGCAGUUAAUUGAAAUCCUACAGAUAACCAAGCAUCCGAACUUCGAUGAGGAGACCCUUACUAACGACUUGGCAGUGGUCAAAUUGGCCAGGAGAUCCCACAAGCCGGUGGCCUGCCUGUGGAACCAGGAAUCCCUACCGGAGAGUCCUCUGACUGCCCUGGGAUAUGGACAAACCAAGUUUGCUGGCCCUCACUCCAAUGAAUUGUUGCAAAUAUUGCUAUACCCUUUGAAUAACCAACAAUGUCAGAGGUACUUGCAAAAUGAUGACAAGCUAGUUCAUGGUUUGGGAUCGGGACAGCUAUGCGCGGGAGAUUACUCCGGCAAAAUGGACACUUGUCAGGGCGAUUCUGGAGGACCAUUGCUGCUCCACCAACAUAUGCGGCAUCAGCACCACCGGAUUCCGUAUGUGGUGGGCUUAACUUCCUUCGGAGGAGCUUGUGCCACUGGAGAGCCCGGAGUUUAUGUGCGAAUAUCCCACUAUCUUCAGUGGAUAGAACAACAGGUGUGGCCAUGACUCUUGUACUCAAAACUUUUUAACUUCAUCAAAAUAUUAUCAGAAUACAAUAUUAGUGAAGCAUUAAUGCUGCUUGAAGGCAAUCUUCUCAAUCCAAUCCAAGUA